GAUGAACGCUGGCGGCGUGCCUAAUACAUGCAAGUCGAGCGAACAGACGAGGAUCUUGCUCCUCUGACGUUAGCGGCGGACGGGUGAGUAACACGUGGAUAACCUACCUAUAAGACUGGGAUAACUUCGGGAAACCGGAUCUAAUACCGGAUAAUAUAUUGAACCGCAUGGUUCAAUAGUGAAAGACGGUUUUGCUGUCACUUAUAGAUGGAUCCGCGCCGCAUUAGCUAGUUGGUAGGGUAACGGCUUACCAAGGCGACGAUGCGUAGCCGACCUGAGAGGGCGAUCGGCCACACUGGAACUGAGACACGGUCCAGACUCCUACGGGAGGCAGCAGUAGGGAAUCUUCCGCAAUGGGCGAAAGCCUGACGGAGCAACGCCGCGUGAGUGAUGAAGGUCUUCGGAUCGUAAAACUCUGUUAUUAGGGAAGAACAAAUGUGUAAGUAACUAUGCACGUCUUGACGGUACCUAAUCAGAAAGCAACGGCUAACUACGUG
rnacentral:rRNA from 1 species